rnacentral:lncRNA from 1 species
UCCUGCUCUUAGCACCAGACUUCCUGCAGCCCUGCAAUGGGCCUCUGCCGCCACCAGGAGGAGCUUCAGGCUCCGACUACAGCCGCCAGCUAUCUUCCAAAGGCAGCCCCACUUGCUGGUCUCUGGCGAGCCACUUCCCUGUCCAGGAGCAGUGUGCCUAGUGCAGGGGCAGCAUGCAGCAGCUCUCUCCUUGCCCACUGCCUCCCUGUGAUAUGGCUGCUUCAGCCCCUGCCCCUGGCAGUGAUGACCAGUGCCCUGGGCUCCUGAUGGCCACCAUGCUGGCUCUAGUGGCCCAUCAUACUGCCUGCUGCCUGGCCUAUGGCUGUUUGGGCCUGCCUGGCUCCCCAACGUGCAGCAACCACCUGUCUGGCUGCAGCCUGCCAUCCCAGGGCCACCACCACUGUGCAGUUGCCACAAGAAGGGAGGCUGAUGAGGGGCUUCUGGAUGCUGCCAUCAGGGCUGCUGUCACUCUCUUAAAACUUCAGACCCGCCACCACAGGGGCCUCUGGGCCAGCCAGGACUGGUGGUGGCAUGUUGUCCAGCACACGUGGGAUGAUGAGCAGUGGCUGGAGGCCUUCAGGAUGACCCAGGCCACCUUCUGGGACCUUGUGGAGCAGCUAUGGCUCCAUCUGGAGUGGAAGGACACUGACUUGUGGCUGCCUCUCCCCACAGGCACUGACCUGGCCCUCACCCUGCUCAAGCUGGCCACACCUGCCAAUCUCUGGUAUUUUGGCCACCUAUUUGGCAUAGGCAAGGCCACCACUGGGGAGGCCAUCCUGGAGGUGUGCGGUGCACUCGAGGACAUGCUGGCAGACUCUGCCCUCUGUGUUCAUGACCCUGGCAGUGGUGGUGGGGUUCUGUGCCUUGGGACUCCCCCAGUGCAUUGGGGCCAUUACCUGCCUGCCCCACAGAAACCACCCCUAUUACAGCUGGAGGGGCUUUCACCCCGUGGUGCUCAGGCUGUUGUGGACCACUGUGGGGCCUUCAUGCAUGUGAGUGCCAGCCGGGUGGGCAGUGCUCAUGGCACCCACAUAUUUAGGAAUUCC